CGAGCCGGGCGCCGUCCGUCCGCAGAGCCGCUCCGCCGUCCGAGCGCGCCUACCGCCAGCUGGGGGUCCCCAACGGUAGCGGCGGCAACUGGCGGAAGUGACGCGCUGACUGACAGUGACUCAGCCAUCCGCCUGCCUCGGCCCGUGCGGGCUCGGGGGUGCCCGGAGAGCGGCCACAGCCGUUAGUGUCACCUCCUGCUCCGCUACGGUUUUGCAUUUCUCGUAACCGUAUUAAAAUAUUUCCCGUCAAUUUUCUGAAUUAAAGCGUCAAAAGCGAGCGCUCCCAAACAUUUCCCAACUGUAAGCGCGCCAGAAGUAACGAAGUGCCCUCUGACAAAGAGCUAAUGCAUUCUGAAAUACAAAAUUUAGCACCCUUAAACUAAGUUAGCAUAAGUUAGUGAGAAGAUGCGAGCUUACACCAGAAGUGUUAAAAGCCGUGCCUGACAGUCUGUGGUUCCCACAUGCCACGUUGAAACUACAACAGCUUUUUCUGUCAUGCAGUGCCAGCAGCCAUAGGUGGUGGGUUUAAUAAAGCAUUUAAGGAAAUUUGGAUCUAGUUAGUAAAAAUCCUCUCAGGAAAAGCUUUUCUUCCCAUGAAAAACUGACAAAGAAUAUGGGAAAGGAAAAAAAACGAUAGAAGUAGGGUGGGAUUAAUCGAAACUUCCAUAUUGCCAUUAGCUGGGAGGCGUUUGUUGCAGGUUUUCCAACAUGGACUCUAAAUUUUCUCUAGAGAUAUAUUUAUAAGACUCAUUAAGAGGAUUUACAUUUAGAAUCUGAAGAAGAGAGAGUCACAAUCCCACAGAAAAUUAGCCUGGUUUUUAAUCAGAUCUAAAACUGCAUUUUCCUGCUAGAAGACUUGGUAUCAUUAGGAGGUGCCAUACAAAAACAAUAAAAUGUCCGGGGUCAGGGGAAGCGACCUCUCAGGAGGUCUGUAUUUGCUGUCGGCCUGCUUUCACAGCAGAUUUCUCCCCUUGAAGAGCUAAUAAAAUUUCCUCGUAUCAGGAUGAGGUUUCUGAAUUUGUAUUUUGUAUACAUAGCUGUGUUCUUUCGGAUUCAUUUAGCCUCAUCAACAACAAUAAAGAUACUGAAUCAGAACAAGCUGGCAAUUUUGUUGAUGAAACAUGGGAGAGAGCGGACUCCAGCUGGCUCUUCAGCAGAUAUGUUGGCCAGUUGACAGGAAUAAAACUGCAAGAAACCUGACACAGAAAACACACGCGGCGAGAGGAGACAGACAGCAGAGGCAGGCAGGAUGCCCAGCACAAGACACUUGGCUGUGUUGGACAUCCAUAACUCUCCAUGGAGGCUCUCGAAUCAGGAAGUACCCAGUUCUUCUGACUCACAGUGUACAAAAGGGCACCUAAGAAUCAAAGUCCAUUUUUAAAGCUUUGCCCUGUAUUAUCAAAUGAAGCUUCACAACACUCAAGAAAACAAGUGAAAGAAUCUAUUUUAUGGAAACAGAAACUCCAGCACAGAGAAAACCAUUCAUCUUUUCA